AACGAACGCUGGCGGCAGGCUUAACACAUGCAAGUCGAGCGCCUCGCAAGGGGAGCGGCAGACGGGUGAGUAACGCGUGGGAAUCUACCCAUCCCUACGGAAUAGCUCCGGGAAACUGGAAUUAAUACCGUAUACGCCCUACGGGGGAAAGAUUUAUCGGGGAUGGAUGAGCCCGAGUUGGAUUAGCUAGUUGGUGGGGUAAAGGCCUACCAAGGCGACGAUCCAUAGCUGGGCUGAGAGGAUGAUCAGCCACAUUGGGACUGAGACACGGCCCAAACUCCUACGGGAGUCAGCAGUGGGGAAUUUUGGACAAUGAGGACAACGCUGAUCCAGCCAUGCCGCGUGAGUGAUGAAGGCCUUAGGGUUGUAAAUCUCUUUCACCGGUGGAGAUAAUGACGGUACCCGGAGAAGAAGCCCCGGCUAACUUCGUGCCAGCAGCCGCGGUAAGAC
rnacentral:rRNA from 1 species